rnacentral:rRNA from 1 species
ACGGGAGGCAGCAGUGGGGAAUAUUGCACAAUGGGCGCAAGCCUGAUGCAGCGACGCCGCGUGGGGGAUGAAGGCCUUCGGGUUGUAAACUCCUUUCAACCAUGACGAAGCAUUAUGUGACGGUAGUGGUAGAAGAAGCACCGGCUAACUACGUGCCAGCAGCCGCGGUAAUACGUAGGGUGCGAGCGUUGUCCGGAAUUACUGGGCGUAAAGAGCUCGUAGGUGGUUUGUCGCGUCGUCUGUGAAAUUCCGGGGCUUAACUCCGGGCGUGCAGGCGAUACGGGCAUAACUUGAGUGCUGUAGGGGAGACUGGAAUUCCUGGUGUAGCGGUGAAAUGCGCAGAUAUCAGGAGGAACACCGAUGGCGAAGGCAGGUCUCUGGGCAGUAACUGACGCUGAGGAGCGAAAGCAUGGGUAGCGAACAGGAUUAGAUACCCUGGUA